rnacentral:rRNA from 1 species
GCGUAAAGAGCGCGUAGGUGGUUUGUUAAGUCUGGUGUGAAAGCCCACAGCUCAACUGUGGAACUGCAUCAGAAACUGACAAACUUGAGUGUGGGAGAGGAGAGUGGAAUUCCCAGUGUAGAGGUGAAAUUCGUAGAUAUUGGGAGGAACACCGGUGGCGAAGGCGGCUCUCUGGACCACAACUGACACUGAGGCGCGAAAGCUAGGGGAGCGAACGGGAUUAGAUACCCCGGUAGUCCUAGCCGUAAACGAUGGGCACUAGGUGUGGGGGGUAUUGACCCCUUCCGUGCCGCAGCUAACGCAUUAAGUGCCCCGCCUGGGGAGUACGGUCGCAAGACUAAAACUCAAAGGAAUUGACGGGGGCCCGCACAAGCGGUGGAGCAUGUGGUUUAAUUCGACGCAACGCGAAGAACCUUACCUGGGUUUGACAUCCCUUGACAACAGCAGAGUGCUGCUUUCCUUCGGGACAAGGAGACAGGUGCUGCAUGGCUGUCGUCAGCUCGUGUCGUGAGAUGUUGGGUUAAGUCCCGCAACGAGCGCAACCCAUGCCCUUAGUUGCCAGCGAGUAAUGUCGGGAACUCUAAGGGAACUGCCGGUGACAAACCGGAGGAAGGUGUGGAUGACGUCAAGUCCUCAUGGCCCUUAUGCCCAGGGCUACACACGUGCUACAAUGGCUGGUACA